UAAUUUAUUACAGCUUUCUUUCUUAGCUGUGUUCUCCAUAAGCUGAGCCCUGGACUCUGAAGCAGUCUCUCCUGUGCAGAGGAUUGUAACACAAUUACUGUACAAUUUUAAAAGCAGGAUUGUUUUCCUGGCUUGCUUUCCUGCCAGCUGUGCUCUGCUCCUUGGUUGGGCGGUGGGGGUCGCAUCAGAGAGCCUCGUGCCUCUCAUUGGCCUCCCUGCCCUGUACUUAACCCCAAAUCUUCCUGCAGAAAAGAAUUGCACCCAGGGGCCUCCUGAUGCUCUGUGCACUCACAUGUACAUUUACAUAAGGGUUUGUUAGGAUGUUUUAAACAGUUCCUGCCCACCCCAGCACCCAGCCCUGCCCAGGCUCCAGCUCUGGAUGUGUAGGACAAGUGCUGACAGCACAGCCACCAGCAGUGCCCAGCAAGGGGAUGCUGCAGCCAGGCUCUGUGACACUGCUGUCCCCAUGGGCAGCACCGCUUGGUGCAGAUGCUCCACGAGGCCGGACCAGCACCCACCGUGCUGAGAGCCCAGGCAAAGCACAGCCUGGCACACCAGUUCUCUCAGUGGGGAAGCAGAGAGCUGGAGAGCGUGGAAUUGGGGUUUUUAAGGUGUCUGCUAAACGUGACGUUACGGUGUGGCUCCUGGUGGUACCACAGCACAGAUUCCCAUCAGCAGUCUCUGCCAGAGGUGGCAAUCUUCCUUUCCCACAAGAGCACGGUAAUGCUGGCCGCACACCCACCCCAGCCUGGGGCAUGGAGCGCUGCCAAGCCGCCUCUCUGACUGCGGUCAGGGCAUCGAGGGGAAAAGGUGAUAUUAGCAAUUAGAAUAAAAGCAUUUGCAUGUAUAUAAAAGAAGAAAAGGAAAGCUAAACCAAAGCGCUACUAAUACGCAUCUUGGUUAUAGAAGCGACGAUACCAUAAGUCUAUUUAAUUUCUGUCUCAGGAUUGGUCCUGGGGACAUCACCCCCGCAGGAGCAGCCCUGGGCGCACACCUGGGGCGUGAGCGUUACUCAGAGCUCACACGUGCUGCUGUCACAGGUAAUUGGCUCAGCCUCCAUCACUGUCCUCCGCUGCAGCUGGAGCCAGCAGGGGCGGCUCUUAAUUAAAUCUGGCACCAUCAGGGGGUGAAGGACGGGAACGCAGUGCAUCACGAAGCGGACAGGCCUCCAGCUCUGGAAACGCCAUCGGGGUUGUCAGCAAGGAGCAAUGGUUCUCUCUGACACAGCCUCAAUAGAGAAACGUGCUGUGCUGAGCCUGAGCUCCCCAGGACAGCGCUGAGCUGAAGGCAGCACCCACCAGGUGCGAGUGCUGAGGAAGCUCCUGGAAAUAGCUGGCUUUGGAAACCUCGUCCUUAGCUGUGCCAUCUGCCCCGGGGAUGGGCUCAGCAGCUCCAGCGGUCCAUGCUGUCCUUGCAGGGAUGAGCACAGCCCCAAAGUAUAGCGACUGAAGCAGUGCAUAAUUCAGGAUCGUAAAACACUUCCAAGUGUGCAUUAAUUAUAAAUAUAUUGUAAAUGACAGUUUUUUUCCUCGAAGAAGGCACAUUAGAUGUGAUGCAUGGCCCCAGAGGAGUGUGUCAAAUGAGGCUGGUGCCCGCCUGGAGCAGCCUGACCUGCCUGUGUAUGCCCAGGCACGAUGCGAUGAGCUCCAUGCAGUGCCCAUAGUGGUGGGCAGUUGGGAGUUACCAGAGAAGCUCUGCUUGCCCCCAGUGCCCACACCCCACUGUGCCUGGGGAGGAAGAGCGCAGUCAGCUGGCACUUCUACUUCAUCUUGGUCGUGUGUGCACCCAUCUCUUUGUAGAUGCAAAACUCAGUUUCCUCGUGGUGCCUCAGUGGACCAUCUCUGCUCUUUGGGUGUGAACGCAGCAAGGCUGCAUGGCGCGUUGGCUCUCCCAUGCUCAGAUGUGAUGGUGAAGGGUAUGUGUGCUGGCUUCCUUUUCCUCAGCCCCAUCACGGUGCUUCCAUCUGUCACCUGGUGUGGAUCUGUUCCUCUGGUGUGUGACACGGCAGGCCUGGACUGGGAGCUGAAAUGGUUAGAAGAGGCUGAAGGGUGACUGCUCUCCUGGCUGCAGAGCUGGGGGACACCAGGGAUCCCUGAACCACUGCCCCAGGGCUUGGCCACGGUGCUAACUCUCCUGGUGGCUGUGAAACCCCUCUGUUCUGCUCACUUCUCUGCUGGAAAUAGAAUGCUUUUAACAAAAAAAUCUGAAAAGCUUUUAGAGCUGGGCUGGCAAUGUGAUGCACCCAUGGGAUUUCGGGGGUAAUGAGGUGGGAGGGAGCUGUUGCAGAGGUUGUGUGAGCAUCACAGAGCAGUGCCAGGCUGUGGCCGUGGGGCUGCAGCAUGUGCUGGGUGGUUAACAUUUCAGUUCCCAAAAGCAGAGGGGAGAGCUAAGCCUUGCAGAAGCAUUGGAGUUUGCACUUCUGGAGCCCUUCUCUGGUGAGAGCAAUGCACCUUUCAGUGUUCUCCAUGUAUCAGGAGAGCUUUCCUAAGUGCCAAAGAGCUGCCUUUUUCUUUCUUUUUUUUUUUUUUCCCUCAGCGCAAAAUGUGUGGCAGGAAAGAACUUCUGCUCUUGACUGAGGAUGUGGUCAGCUGUGGAGCUGAGCUGGGGGUUUAAGGCAACCCACCUGGGGAGCUGAGUCCAGGCUGUGCCACGCUGCUGGGCAGCUGCUGAUUGUGCACAGAAGGCAAGCCACUUUGGACUUCAACAUUUCUCCUGCGGGGCUCCAACGUCAGAACAAAGGCUUGUUGUUAUUUUGCCAAACUGAAGUACUGGGAUGUGGAUGGAGCAAAAACUGAGUAAUCACUGAAUCGUUGAGCUAUCAGUUACCAUCAGUGACAGCUCCUGGAGCUGUUUGGGAAUCCCAGCCGUGAGAAACCUCUAUUGCUUUGGGCCAAGUCCUGCUCCUCCAUGGCUGCUGAAUGAAUGGCCCCUGCCAGUGCUGAAGGACCCUGGAAGAAAAACGUGUCUCUGGUAAAGAAAAAACAACACAGAACAUCCUGAGCUGGAAGGGACACAUCAGGAUCGCUGAGCCCAACUCCGGGCUCCACACAGGACACCCAGAGGUCAGACCACACGUCUGACAGCAUUGCCCACCCGCUUCUUGAGCUCUGUCAGCUGUGGUGCCAUAACCACAGCCCGGACAGGCUGCUGCAGUGCCCGACCGCCUUCUUAGUGAACAACCUCCUCCUCGGCAGCUCCAGGCCCUCGGGUUCUACCGCUGUCACCAGAGCCCACCGGCGCCCGCCCCUCCUCGCAGCCUUCGGAGCGCCG
rnacentral:lncRNA from 1 species